CAACAACUGAUAUCGACGACGGAGAAUUCCAGUUCAAUUCUAACUCAUUAGAUCCGAGUUUAUCGACUUCACCCGCUGGACCCAUCCACACGCCAAGUAUUGGAUCCGUAUCUCCAACAGAAAAUUCAGCACAAGAGCAUCUCCUUUGACAGCCAGCAGCCGCGAACCAGGACCCUUUUUCAAGAUUCUCGCAAUCGCCGCCUCUGUCGGAUCAUGUAGACCAAUGUAGAGAUCAAGUAUCGCACACUUCGACAACAUCACCAAGAUCUUCGGCAACUCUAGCUGGACAGGAACUGAACAACAACUCACCUAAGAAGCCUCCAGCCACUCUAACCGAAUCACCUCUGAACUUACCAACAGAAGACAACAUACUCUCUCCACGACAUCCCAGCGUCGAAACCAGGUCAAUCUCGUAAUUGCAUGGGAAACCAUUAAAUCAAUGCUCGCCAUAGCAUCCCAAAACAGCUGGACUAUCUCACAUAUGGACAUCAUUACCGCAUUCUUCCAUGGUCCAUACAAGGAGGAGGUCUACGUUACGCAGCCAGAAGGAUUUCAGAUUCCAGGAAGAGAAAAUUUAGUUUACAGGCUCAGAAAAGCACUCUACGGACUACGACAAGCCCCCAGGUCUUGGUACGAAGAAAUCGACAAGAUUCUCAAAAAUAUCAGGUUCAAACCUGGCAUGGGCGAUCAUAACCAUUACAGCAGAUUCGACCACAAAAACAUCAUUCUGGUAGCUCUUUAUGUCAACGAUCUGCUAAUGGUAAGCAACUCAUGCUCCGCAAUAAAAGAUCUUGAAGCGAAAUUAAACUAUUAGUUUCCCAUGACUGACCUCUCUGAAGGAGAUAUCAUGAUCUAUUUGAAGGAAAAGUGUACUCAAGUUCACAAUGGGAUUUUCCUCACUCAAAGAAGCUAUGCUAAGCGAAUUCUCGAAACAUAUGGUAUGGACCAAUGCAAAUCAGCGGCUACUCUCAUGGACGAACGCUGCAAACUGGCAGUGAACAUGGGCGAAGAAGAGUGAAACCCAACCGUCUAUCGAAGGAUGAUAGGAUCCCUACUGCAUCUUACAAUCACUCGCCUUGACAUCAAGUAUUCGACAAGGGUAUGUAGCAGAUUUAUGCAGACACCACAACAGCCACAUCUAGCAGCAAAGCGGAUUCUUAGAUACAUCAAAGGCACCAAAGACUUUAGACUCCUCUUCACAAACUAAAAGAGUAACAUACUACAAGGCUACGUCGACCCCGACUGGGCAGGAAACACACAAGAUGCCAGGUCAACCACAGGUUUCAUUUUCAGAUUAGGAAAGUCUCCGAUCACGUGGUAUUCGAAGAAGCAGCGUACGGUAGCUCUGUCAUCCUCCGAAGCAGAGUACCGAGCCCUCACAGAUGCCUCCAAAACAGCAUCAUUGCUUCGAAUGCUAUUUCAGGAUUUACAUUUUAAAAUUGAAUUUUCAAUCCGUAUUUUUUGUGAUAACAUUGGUAGCAUUCGGAUGGCAAUCAAUCCCGAAGCAAAUCCUCGCACACGUCACGUGGUUGCCCAUUACCACUUCACGCGAGAGAGAAUUGAAGAGGGAGAACUAGAACUCGAAUACAUACCCAUCCUUGAGCAAUUGGCGGACAUUUUCACGAAGCCGCUGGGACGCUCUCUGUUCGAAAAGUUCAGAAAUGAGCACAAUAUCGUAAGCAGCGAAAGUGUAGUUUCACAAUCCCGAGCAUUCCCCUAGAUACUUUUUUGGUCCUCUAUUCUCCACCAUGCCUGAUGCUGCUGGAGAUAAUCAAUCCGUAAUGGAUUCCCUGCUCACUCUUGUCCGAGCACUUCUUGCAUUUAUCAAGACUCUGAUCGAUCGACUGAUUGCACUCGUGGACACAUUACUAUCUCAACAUCGCUCUAUCCAGAACCCCAAAACAGAUGAUACCGCCAUCGGCUGGAUCCUCUACUCAUCAUUGGCGCAUUCCACGAUCAGAAAAUUACAAAUUCUACGUGGUCAAAGAAGGACGGCGACCAGGAAUAUACUCCACCUGGAAUGAAUGUGAAGCUUUCGUGAAGCACUUCCAAGGCACAAAAUACAAAGGGUUCAUGACCCUACAGGACGCCGAAAAUUUCUUCUUCAACUAAGAGCACAUUUUUUCCUUCCUCGUUUAGUCAGUGAUAAGUUGUUGUCUAGAACACAUGGAGGGAGGGAGGGUAUUGGAUAAACACUCCUACGUUCUCAUCAUGUUCUCAUCUAUGGGAACCUAUGAUCACAAAUGUACUUUUACAGCACCUUCUGAUGUUCACAAGUAGUUGAUCUAAGCAUGUAUUAGCUGUGUUACUUAUUCUUGUUCUGUAUCGAACGAUGAGUGCAAGUUUCUGAGUUCACAAGUUUGGCACUGGCUAACUGCACUUCCAGGUCCCCACCACCACACUCAUUAAGCACCAACUCGAAGAUCCGUGGAGUGAGAACAAUAGAAAUGACCAGUCCCCUCCGAAAUCCCAGUUCAAUACCUGUGUCGCCGUAUAGAUCUCUACAGUUCCCCCAUAAUGAUCGAAUCUCCCCACUCGCUUCCAAGUGGGUCCUCAUUCCCGCUGCCGUGUCGUAUAAAGAUCGGGUGGAGUUCCUGCGAUUGCCAGCAGCUUGUACACUCGCCAGUGCACCGAGCUCAGCUCCGUCCACAGUUGGAUCCCUCUGUAGUGGAUUGAGAACUUGAUCGGAAGAAUAUUUUCGAAGUGGAGGGGUCAUUUCGCCGGUAACUUAUUGCUGCAGUGGGAAACACGUUAAAAAAACAGCAAAGCAUGACGAUAAAUUAGUGGUGUAUACAGUGAACGAUCCUGCUCACUGAUUACUGCUCGGUGUGAGGUUAAGCGAUGGCGACGGAGAAUGGGCAUAAUGGCUACCACGGCCACCACUUAGAGGAGGCUAUUAAGGCCGCUCCCGCGCCGCAUGUGGUGCGCAUUGCCAACCCUGCGCCAUUGAGACUGUGGGGGUUUGCGCUUAUGACAUUCGUAUUGUCGUGCUACAACGCGGCCACUUCGGAAUCUCCGUGAAGACGCCCCCGAACGUUGUGGUUGGACUGGCAGUCUUCUGCAGGGGUACCGCUCAGUUGCUAGCAGGAAUGUGGGAGUUCAAGACUGGAAACACCUUCGGAGCUACGGCCUUCUCUUCUUACAGUGCGCUCUAGCUUCGCUUGGGCUGUGAUUCAGAUCCCUGGCUUUGGAGUGAAGGAAGCUUAGGUGGGCGGAUAUGAGCAGGACGUGCUCCCUGCCAUUGCGAUCUUCCUGCUCGCGUGGGCCAUCUUCACCUUCAUCAUGUAGUUGAAAACCCUGAGGCUGGUGGUUUCAUGGGCAUCUUCACUGCCAUCAUUGCGUGGUACAUAGCUCUUGCUGGUAUCCUGACUCGCGAAAACUCCUACUUCACACUCCCCGUUGGAAAUCUGGCGCGGCACCACUAGCAUCAGUUCUCUCUUUAGUCAUGAUAUCUCUAUUACUGUAGAGCUGUGCAGGGUAUGGCAAUGCCACAAAAUACAGGUAUACAACGUUAAGAUGGUGGAUUGAAUAAUCGACUGCGUGCUUUGUACGAUCGUAUGUAAUUUUCGUUAUGUACCGCCUGCUAAAGAGUUCAAUCUGCAGCGGCUUCAGUUGCAUAUGUGCUUCAAUUACAAAGUUAACAAAGUUCUAUCUUCAAGUAC